rnacentral:rRNA from 1 species
UACGAAGGGGGGCUAGCGUUGCUCGGAAUGACUGGGCGUAAAGGGCGCGUAGGCGGAUGGCACAGUCAGAUGUGAAAUUCCCGGGCUUAACCUGGGGGGCUGCAUUUGAUACGUGUGAUCUAGAGUGAGGAAGAGGGUCGUGGAAUUCCCAGUGUAGAGGUGAAAUUCGUAGAUAUUGGGAAGAACACCGGUGGCGAAGGCGGCGACCUGGUCCUUGACUGACGCUGAGGCGCGAAAGCGUGGGGAGCAAACAGG